CGAGGGAGCAAGAGAGAGUGUGCGAGCCAGGGAGGACGGAGCAACCAAGCGAGGGGACAGCAGGAGGGAGCCACUCAAGUCCGACUCAAUGGAAUCAAAAACUGCGCAGUUACUUUUCCCACCGCAGCCUGUUCCCGCGCGAAACGGAUGGGAGUUUCAUCUUUUUGCGAAAUGAAAACCCGCUAGGAAAGAUGAGCCGUUGGAUAUCUGAGGAGGCUGGGACCAGAAGCGCUGUGCAAUGAUUUUCUGCGCGUUCUGACUGUGCAAAACCGUGCCCAUCCGUCAUGCCAUGCCACAACCUCUCGAGUGGGCGUUUAUCUAACCAUGCCGCUGCCCUGUCCGUGUCUACCUGCUGCUGCUGCUGCUGCUGCUGCACUAGAGAGGAGAGCAGAGCAGAGCGCGUUUGGAUGUCGUAGUUUGGGAAUAACACUUCUUUUCAUUUUGGCUUUGCUGCGUCAUUCGUGGCACUUGCCGCACGGUACCGAGAUGGAGAGCUCUGCGAAUCCGGUUGUGGUGCGCCCUUUUCGGCCUCUCGCCACUUCACCAGCGCGAUUCACGAGUGCGGACGGAAGAGAGGCAGAGAGGAAAGGGCAGAUAUUUGAAGAACCACCAGCUCCAGACUAGAAUCAACCCGCUUCUGCAUCUUGUCAGCAGCAGCGCUUCCAUGGCAACAAGGAAAGAGAAGAUAUUGUGUUUUAUGAAUAUGGGAAGGAGUGAGAUCACAGCUUUAAUAGUCUUCACAGCUACUGACUAGAACAUCGCUGUCGGCCUUCAGUCUCCAGUACGUUUUGUUUUUGGCCGACCUGUAUGGAGAUAGGUUAGUGUCAUUCUCAUCAAAUAAAUAUCACGACAAUCACAAAUACAUUUCUUCUUCUCUACCUCCUCUGUCCUGUCUCCUACCUCCUCUGUCCUGUCUCCUACCUCCUCUGUCCUGUCUCCUGCCUCCUCUGUCCUGUCUUCUACCUCCUCUGUCCUGUCUCCUACCUCCUCUGUCCUGUCUUCUACCUCCUCUGUCCUGUCUCCUACCUCCUCUGUCCUGUCUCCUACCUCCUCUGUCCCAUCUCCUGCCUCCUCUGUCCUGUCUUCUACCUUCUCUGUCCUGUCUUCUACCUCCUCUGUUCUGUCUCCUGUCUCCUCUGUCCUGUCUCCUACCUCCUCUGUCCUGUCUCCCAACUCCUCUGUUCUGUCUCCUGUCUCCUCUGUCCCGUCUUCUGCCUCCUCUGUCCUGUCUCUUACCUUCUCUGUUCCUUGUGUCCUGCCUCCUCUGCCCUGUCUCCUACCUCCCCCCUUUUUUCCUGUGUCUUACCUCGCCUCUCUUGUCUCCUACCUCCUCUGUCCUGUCUCCUACCUCCUCUGUCUUGUGUCCUACCUCCUCUGUCUUGUGUCCUACCUCCCCUGUCUUGUCUCCUACCUCCUCUGUCGUGUCUCCUACCUCCUCUGUCAUGUCUCCUACCUCCUCUGUCUGUCUCCUACCUCCUCUGUCCUGUCUACUACCUCCUCUGUCCUGUCUCCCACCUCCUCUGUCCUGUGUCCUACCUCCUCAGUUCUGUGUCCUACCUCCUCAGUUCUGUGUCCUACCUCCUCAGUUCUGUGUCCUACCUCCUCUGUCCUGUCUCCUACCUCCUCUGUCCUGUCUCCUACCUCCUCAGUUCUAUGUCCUACCUCCUCAGUUCUAUGUCCUACCUCCUCUGUUCUGUCUCCUGCCUCCUCUGUUCUGUCUCCUACCUCCUCUGUCCUGUCUCCUACCUCCUCAGUUCUAUGUCCUACCUCCUCAGUUCUAUGUCCUACCUCCUCAGUUCUAUGUCCUACCUCCUCUGUUCUGUCUCCUGCCUCCUCUGUCCUGUCUCCUGCCUCCUUUUUCGUGUCUCCUACCUCCUCUGUCUUGUCUCCUACCUCCUCUUUCGUGUCUUCUACCUCCUCUGUCCUGUCUCCUACCUCCUCUCUUUUUUCCUGCAUCUUACCUCUCCUCUCUUGUCUCCUACCACCUCUGUCUUUUCUCCUACCUCCUCUUUCCUGUCUCCUGCCUCCUCUGCCUUGUCUCUUUCUUCCUCAGUCCUGUCUCCUCUGCCUUGCCUCCUCCUUCCUCUGUCCUGUCUCCUGCCUCCUCUGUCCUGUCUCCUCUACACCACCUCGUUCCUCCUUGCUCACACUUCUUCUUUACGUCAUCUCUCGUUGCCUUCUCACAACUCCUCCUUCCUGUCAUGUUUCUUGCAUCUGUUCUGAUCUCCUUUCUCCUCUCUACUAUUUCCUAAAUCCUCUCAAACACCUCCUCUUCCUUGUCUCCUACCUCACCCUGUUUCCUACAUCCUCAGACAUGCCUUUAGAUUCUGCGUCCUAGCUCUCAAAUACCUCUUACGUUCACCGGAUGACUGAGCUCAGAGUUGAUUGUGUUUGUUCUAAUAGACAAAUUCCACUCUUCAAUAGGGACUUACGCAGAUUAUCUAACUCCGUUCUUAACAAGUUAUGGAACAUUUUUAAAGGGAUUAUAUUAUGCAAUUUUUAAAAUCUGUGUUCUAAUGUUUUCUCAUCACAAACAGACCUUGAGUUGUGUUUUGUUUCAUUCACAUGUUUAACACACAAACUCUGCAGAUUUAGGUGGAGUUCAUCUCUCAAACAGAAAAAAAAACCUCCCUUCCACCUUGUGAUGUCAUGUGGUAAUAAAAGAAAAGGUCCAUUGUGUUUUUAAACUCCAUACACCUUCACUAAAAUCGCUUGGAUCAUUGCAGACCUGGAAUUGGCCAUUUCUAGUGUGCAAAAGAGUAGCUGUUUACUCGAAUACUACCACUACAUGACAUCACAAGGUGGAACAGAGCAUUUUGAGCUUCGGAGAUGUAGCCAGAAUAACAAAUGGUUACUCAGACGUGUAAAUGAAACAAAACGCAACUCCAGGUCUUAUUUUGAGGAGCUGACAACAUUAUAACAUGGCCUAAAGUAGACCUGUCACGAUAACACAUUUUGAAACACGAUAUAUAUCGCUACAGAGAGGUAUCGUGAUAAACAAUAAUAUUUAAUAUAGGAUAAUCCCAGUAAACCAGUUUUUAAAUAGCAUAAUCUUAAAAAGCAUGAGCUCCAACAGAACAGAACAGAAUUAAGUGAAAAAUAGCAAGUUAUUUGUUCAAGUGUCUACAACUCAAAUCUUUUCUUAUUAUAUAAAAAUGCCGAUAAAAUCUCCUCACUGUUGCAAAAAAAAAAAAAAAAAAAAAAAAGGACCCAUGUUAAAUAUUGUAUUGAAUGAUAUGUCAGUAUUGUAAUUAUCGUGACAGGUAUAUCUCUAAGCUCACAAGAGUCAAUUUUGCCUAACAUAGAACUUUAGAAUUAAGGCUGUGUAAUUAAUUUAAUUUUUUCACGAUUUGUGUGUCAAAAAAUCACCAAACUCAUAUAAUCAAGUUGAAACGAUAAAGCUUAACAAAGUUUAUUUUGGGUAUAAAUAAGUAUAUUUAUUUUAUGUUUUAGAUAUAGAGAUUGUAGAACAGCUGGAUAUAUAGUUUAUUUUGGAUAUGUUUGUUUUUCUAUUUACAAAGUAUAUUUUAUUCAUUUUAUGUUUUAUACAUUGCAAAACUGCUCUAAGGUACAUUGCACAUUUGUAGUGGGGAUGUAACAAUAUCUAAAUCUCUCAGUACAAUAUUAUCACGAUAUGCAUCUCAUGCUACGAUAUUUAUUGCAAGAUUUUGGAGAGGCUAAUUAGAUAGGACACGUUUCUGCUUUUAAAAUACUUUGACAAGAUUUUGGUGUGAAUUAUUACCAUCAUAAUCCCAAGAAUUUCACUAAAAAACACAUUCUCUUCACUGAAGUGAAUCAUGGGAUAUGUAGUUCCCUAUGUUUAUAAGCUGUUUCUUCUAUAAAACCUGCAUUUAAGCAAAGGAACCUGUAAUUCAAUAUAUUGU